rnacentral:rRNA from 1 species
AUACGGAGGGUGCAAGCGUUAUUCGGAAUCACUGGGCGUAAAGGACGCGUAGGCGGGUUUGUAAGUCAGGUGUGAAAUCCUACAGCUUAACUGUAGAACUGCUCUUGAAACUACAGACCUAGAGUAUGGGAGGGGCAGAUGGAAUUAGUGGUGUAGGGGUAAAAUCCGUAGAUAUCACUAAGAAUACCGAAAGCGAAGGCGAUCUGCUGGAACAUAACUGACGCUAAGGCGUGAAAGCGUGGGGAGCAAACAGGAUUAGAAACCCUAGUAGUCC